CCUUCUGACAAAUAUAACGUGAAGAUAAAAACCCAUAAACAAGGAAUCUAAUCAAUAUUAAAUCAACAAUCCUUCGAAAGAUAAUAAAAAUUGACGUGGGUCAUUGUUGAAAAAAUAAAAUCUACCAAUUGCAAUUACAGAAAUUGAAAUUUUGCUUUGGUGUUGCAAAGGAUUUCGGAUGCCGCAAACCGAGGGCUAAUCGGGGCAGCCCUAGAAACGAAGAUUACUAAAUAAUUGUUACAGAGAGACGGGGUUCUGCAUGGUUUAAUAAAUGCAGAACAGAGCAUUAUGGAAAUUCACCCAAAGGAAAUACCCACCACCGAGUCGGUUUCGGAGUUUCUAGAUAAGCCUGAGGGAGAAGAGCAAUUGAUCCCAAGCCCGAGAAUAAGCAUUGCAUUUGAUGCAAAACAUACACCCAUGUUUCCAUCUAUGAAAGCACUGAUUCUCUACCAGAGAACAAUAAAUCCGUUGAGAAAGAGGGGGAAGAUUUAGAAAGGGCUCGGCCACCCCAGUCGCAUUCACUCUCUGAAAAUGAUAGUUCUGUGGCAUCCAGUGUGGGAUUGUAUCCUCGGAAUCAUAGGUACCAUAAUGUUAUGGAGGUAACGAUGAAAUCGAAGAGUUUGGUGAUAGUGACUUGGAUAAUAUAGAUGAGAUGGACGAUCAAGAUGAUUCGGAUUACUAUGAUCAAGAUGAUGGAAUUGUUUGCGGAGAAGUAUGGUCAGAGUCAAUUUUAACUGCAUCCAUGGAGUCAAGGACAGAUCUUUCAGCUUGAGUUAUCAACGAGGAAGUACAGAGUCCUUUGAUAAGGAUUGGACAGCCCGAGAUGGAAAUGGAGGCAUCUGGACCAAAAACUAUUUCUAGAGAUAGAAGUGACUAUGUCAAUUCCGUGCUGAACCCUGUUGAAAACACUACUCAGUGGAAAGCUGUGAAGUUGAAAGGGAUGCAGCCUUUGAAGCCACAGAAGGAGAACUUGAUUGUUACGACCUUGAAGCACCCCACAUUUCUUUCAGUAGUUUAGAACCGACUUUCAAGCGAUCUUCACAAAGUUUGAAGCCAAAAUUGGAUCAUUCGAGAUAGUCGUUGAUUCUAGUCUUUCAAGCUGGUUGGUUUCGCCUGAUAUCACUCCUGCAAAGAAGAAUAGUUAUAGUGAUCUUGAGACCACUACGCCUGAAAGGAACAUACCAAUAGGGUCGACUUCACCGAGGAGCUAUGAUGAUCGACCAAUUCUAGGUGCAUUGACAGUCGAGGAGCUGAAACGGAUGUCAGCAUCUUCCUCCCUGAGGAAGUCUCCUGGUCGAAACCCUGAUGAGAUGCCUAUUAUAGGUACAGUCGGGACCUAUUGGAAUGAUUCGGGUUCGGCCAAGCAUUCUGACUCAGUCUCUUCUUACAAAGUCAUACCGAAUACAACCAGUAAGUACAGAGAGGUAUUCUUGAAGUGAGAAUUUGUAAAUUAAUAUCACAUUGAUAAUGUUUUGUUCCAAGUAUUUGCCAUCAAUUGUGCAGGACAAGAGAGUGAAUUGGCAUUCAACUCCAUUCGAGGCGAGACUGGAGAGAGCUCUCAACCAAGGUGCUGCAGAAGCCUAAUAUACCCAAUUUCAUCCUACAGAAGAAAGAUGAAUUGAAAUUUUUAUUAUUCUUUUCCAGUGCCCGUCUUUGGAUUCUUUUAAUCUGUUAUAGUUUGUGAAUUUUAUGCAUUUGUUUAUUGUACUUGCUCAUACCUUUUUUAUUGUUUGUGAAUUUUGAUAUGAUUUAUAUGCAAUUGUUUGUUUAUUGUAAUAAUUUAA